UACGACUACAUAUCAGGCAUAUCAAUAAGCGGAGGAAAAGAAACUAACAAGGAUUCCCCUUAGUAACGGCGAGUGAAGCGGGAAGAGCUCAAAUUUGAAAUCUUCAAGGUUUUACCUUGACGAAUUGUAGUUUAAAGAAGUGUUUUCUGUUGGAAUUUUCGGUAAAAGUUCUUUGGGAAAUAGACAUCAAUAGAGGGUGAGAAUCCCGUAUUUGACCAUUAUUUUCCAGCUUUGUGAUACACUUUCAAAGAGUCGGAUUGUUUGGGAAUGCAGUCCAAAAUGGGUGGUAAAUUUCAUCUAAAGCUAAAUAUUGGCGAGAGACCGAUAGCGAACAAGUACCGUGAGGGAAAGAUGAAAAGAACUUUGAAAAGAGAGUUAAACAGUACGUGAAAUUGUCAAAAGGGAAGCGUUUGACACCAGUGUUGUUUUCUCGAAAAUCAAUUAAAAAUAGAUUUGAUUUUGUGUUGUAUUGACCUUAAAAGCUUUCUUCACUUUUUUCAUGUUUAUUUUUAAUGCAGCUUUUCGUUUAACAAGUCAACAUCAGUUUCUUUUGUUGUAAAAAGGUCAUUGGAAGGUGGCUUUCUUUUCGGAGAAAGUGUUUAUAGCCUUUGACUCCUGCAAUCGGAGAGACUGAGGUCUGCAGCGUAGAUCCUUCGGGAUUAGAUUACAGUUAGAUGCUAAGUUAUAGCUUUUUCAUAGACAACUUGUUGACUAUGAUUUAAUCAUUGUAGCUUACUCGCUUAUGGCUAUUUUACCUACGCUUAGGAUGUUGACGCGCGUGUGUGCGUG
rnacentral:rRNA from 1 species